CAUAUUUUUAGACGGCUGCCUAAAGAGAAGAAAUCCCACCAAGCCGAACAUGAUGAUGCGCGGGCGUAUUGCCCAAAGUGUUGACCCUAACCGGUCCGGAUGUGCGCGCAACUCGAUGGAGGGGAGCUAUCGAAGGGGACGGAACGGUGACUCACAAACAUGCUGCUACCAGACAUUUGCGAUUAUGUUGCACCAUGCUGCUUUUCUUUUUUGAAACUGACUGCAUACACACCCAAGACCCAUUUGGAUUGAAACAACUCGUGGAUAUGCUGACGAAUAUAAUGGAUUGAAUGGAACGGGCGUACGCAAGGCGACCGUGUAACGUGGAAAUAAUGAUUGAAGUUUAAUCGAAAGGUGACUAUCGUUUGAGUGAAUAAAUAGCGCUGUAAACGCAAUGCCGGUUGGUGCUUCAGGCUAGAUCGGUGUGUUCGGGGUGCGUGCGUGCGUAAGAAACGUUUCCUCCCCCUACCCCCACCUGCAAUACACCCACCGGUCACCAUUUUCCCCCCGUGAAAAGGAAAAGCGCGUUACAGCCGGGAAAAGGCGGGGGGUUAAAUGAUUGUAACACACGGUCGUAAAAGAGUAAAAAGGUGAAAGGGCUGUUGCUUUUUUCCAUUCACCCCACCCAAAUGCGGUACGUGUGGGCUGUAUCGGAAUGUUCUUGAGAUGAAGGGGGUGUUAUGGAACCGGUUCUGCAGUGGGAAAGAUGAAGGAAAGGAUUGUUAGGAAACUACUUAAAGAAAGGAUGCAGGAAGUAUGUGGGAGGGAAAAAAACAGAAGAAGAAAACGGAGCAAAUAGAACCAUUUAAAGAUCGCGGAACCGCUGCGAAAGCGGAUAAACCAAUAUUUCAUUACGCACAUCAGACGCAAGCGAUAAGCGAAGGCACUUGGCACUGUUUAGCACGAUUCGUUGUUGUGUGCCCUAUCGAAAGGACGUUUUUCUUGCUUUCUUGAUUUAAUAUCUCUUACCGGCAAGGCUUUUACCAUUUUGUUGCGUCCUUAAUUCGCCCUUGACGUAUUUUAGCUCCGUACCGUAGACGGUUUCGCCACUGACCUGAGACACAAGCGAUUCCGGACAAGCUGGAACUCGAAUGAUAUCCCCUACACAAUUGCACGGGAAAGUGUUACAUCGGGCAAAUGGCGAUUUUGCUUUGCAUUACUUAACCAUGGGUGAAGGAAUAAAUGUUUCCAUUGCCAGAAAUUUAAUUAAUUAUCGAUCGUUGGGUUGAGAUUUUUGUUUACCUACUCGUUCCUACUACUACCAGAUACUCGUUCGAUAUUUAUUGAUCGCUGAUUUGAUUUUUUGUUUUGUUACAAUGUAUUACCUUUAUCAUUUAUUUUACCUUUCUUAUAAUUUUUUUAGGCGUGCGUUUGUAUGUGUGCAUAAUUGUUUCUUUGUGUGUGUGUGUUUUGUGAAGGGCAAAGUGUAAUUAGCGUUGUAAGCACCAAGUGGCAAGUGAAAUAAAGUCAAAGAAAAUGCUUUAAUCGUAUCAUACUAAAAAAAAUCCCCGGAAUCCCAAGCUCUUUAUAUCUUAUCGACCGGCGUAAAGUGAGUUCUCGUUCUUCUUGGCCCAGCAAACAAAAAAAAAAUCACCCUGACCGCACACUCGCCCCAUUUCUCAUCACUUCCCAUAAAUGUAUGCUUAAGGAAGGCUGUUUGUGUGGUGCGGUUCCGAGGGAAAAGGGGGCACCUAAGCGGUGGGCGGGAGUUUCCUAGUCGAUGAUUAAACGGUACUAAAUAUAGAAACAAAACAACACCAAUAUAAACUCUACCGUAAAGGCAACAGAUUACAAAAAAAUCUGGUUAAAAGCAAGUGAAAAACGCGUGGGGAGGGUAAGAGCAAGAAAGAGAAAAGAAAAACCACCCCUACAAAAACAAAGCAAAACAAAAAAGGAAAUAAAACAUGACGACGAGGAAAAAGAAACGCCAGCAGGAUGGAGGAGGCGGAGGCGCGGGCGGUGGAGGAUUCCUCAAAAAGGUUUCGUCCUUAUUCAGCCUGGAUACGGUUCCGACAUCGAAUGCGAAUGAUACAAAACAGCUGAAUGGCGAUUCGCCGUGGGAGUACGAUGAGAUAACGCUGCUACGCGGCUCGACCGGGUUGGGCUUCUCGAUCGCGGGCGGUACGGACAAUCCGCACAUCAAUCUCGACGCGUCGAUCUACAUAACGAAGGUGAUACCGGGUGGUGCGGCCCACGUCGACGGUCGGCUGCAGGUGAACGAUUGCAUCGUGGCCGUGAACGAGGUGCGCGUGGUGAACGUAACGCACGGGGAAGCCGUCGAUGCGCUCAAGCAGGCGGGCGACCGUGUGACGCUGCACAUCCGCCGGAAGCGCCCACCCGCCCAGGCACCGAAGCUGGAGGAGAUCGAACUGCUGAAAGGUAGCAAAGGGCUCGGUUUUUCGAUUGCGGGCGGUAUCGGCAACCAGCACAUCCCGGGCGAUAAUGGCAUUUACGUAACGAAGAUCAUGGAGGGCGGUGCGGCCCACAUCGACGGCCGGCUCGCCGUCGGUGACAAGCUGAUCGCGGUCCGCACACCGGACGGUGGAGAGCGCAAUCUCGAGAACGUGGUGCACGAGGAGGCGGUCGCAACGCUCAAGGCGAUCACCAACCGGGCGACGCUGAUCGUGCAGAAGACGAACAUACUGCAGGCGCUCGCCAACUCGAUCAGCAACCUUAACUCGCUGUCGACGAACGCGAUGAACAACGUUGGCGUCAGCAUGGUCGACCAUGCGUCGCCGGAUGCGGGCGGUGGUGGCGGCGGCGGUGAGGCCGGCGGAGGCGACACGGAAAUGGCACCAACGGCACGUUCCCACUCGCCAGCGUUCGCACUGGAGAACAGCUCAUCCCGGUACGCAUCGUCGAACGUGCUCGAAACCGGCAUGCCGAUCGGUACACCGCGCGCCGUUAGCAGCGAAGACAUUACACGAGUACCGCGCACGAUCGUCAUUCGGAAAGGAGCGUCCGGACUUGGGUUCAAUAUUGUCGGUGGUGAGGAUGGACAGGGGAUCUUCGUAUCGUACGUGCUGGCUGGCGGAGCAGCCGAUCUCGGUGGUGAACUAAAACGUGGCGACCAGCUACUAUUCGUCAAUGGCAUCAGUUUGGCAAAUGCAUCGCAUGAAGAUGCAGCGCAGGCCCUUAAGAAUGCCGGUGGCACGGUAACGUUGGUUGUGCAGUACCGACCGGAAGAUUACAACCGGUUCGAACAACGCAUUCAGGAGCUGAAGCAGGCGGUGGCAGCCGGUACCGGCACGCUGCUGCGAACCUCUCAGAAGCGUACGCUCUUCGUACGUGCACUGUUCGACUACGAUCCGAACCGGGACGAUGGGUUACCGACCCGUGGUCUCCAGUUCCGGCACGGUGACAUACUGCACGUGACGAACGCGUCCGACGACGAAUGGUGGCAGGCACGGCGCGUCAUCGGCGAGGACGAGGAGGAAAGCAUCGGUAUCGUGCCGUCGAAACGGCGCUGGGAGCGUAAGCAGCGUGCCCGUGACCGUAGCGUUAAGUUCCAGGGUCACGCCGGUGCGAACAAUAACAACCUGGAAAAGGUAUCUCCAUCGGGCGAGGAGGUGUCCACGCUCGAUCGUAAAAAGAAAAACUUCUCCUUCUCCCGCCGGUUCCCGUUCAUGAAGAGCAAAGACGAUAAGAACGAGGAUGGAUCGGAUCAGGAGCCCAAUGGCAACCUGAGCGAUCCAAAUGGUCACGAUCCGGAGCAGCCUUUCAUGCUUUGCUACACACAAGAAGACGCGAAUGCCGAAGCGGAGGAAACCAUUUUGUCGUACGAACCGGUGCAGCGUCUGCAAAUCACCUACACGCGCCCUGUCAUUAUUCUGGGCCCGCUGAAGGACCGCAUCAAUGACGACCUGAUCUCGGAGUACCCGAACAAGUUCGGCUCGUGUGUACCACAUACCACACGCCCCAAACGAGACUACGAGGUGGACGGACGGGACUACCAUUUUAUAGCGUCACGCGAACAGAUGGAAAAGGACAUACAGAACCAUCUGUUUAUCGAGGCGGGUCAGUACAAUGACAAUCUGUACGGUACGUCCGUUGCGUCGGUGCGCGAGGUCGCCGAAAAGGGCAAACACUGCAUACUGGACGUGUCCGGUAACGCUAUCAAGCGGCUGCAGGUCGCGCAACUAUACCCGAUCGCCAUCUUCAUCAAACCGAUGUCGGUAGAAUCGAUCAUGGAAAUGAAUAGACGCAUGACAGAGGAGCAGGCAAAGAAAACCUACGAACGAACGCUAAAGAUGGAGCACGAGUUUGGCGAAUACUUUACCGCCAUCGUGCAAGGCGACACGAUCGAGGAGAUCUACAGCAAGGUGAAGAAUGUCAUCUGGUCUCAGGGCGGACCGACGAUCUGGGUACCGUCGAAGGAAUCUCUAUGACCGCAGGCAAGCAUCACCUGGACGCUGCCACCAAAUAUGCGCGCACGGCCCGUAUCCCGUACCUCCGGCCACCAUUGACGGGUAGAGCGGGACUAAAAGGGGUGCGUGCUUUGUGCAGUGAAGGACGGGAGAAGUGACAAAAAACAGAAAAAUUGCGCGAAAAUUGUAGGAGAAAAGUCAAACGAAAGCAACAAAAAAAAAAUAUUUGAAAACACGACAAAAAAAAAAAAAAACACACACACACACGUUAAACAUAUGUAGACGAAAGUGGCAGAAGAAACGCCCUCACUUAUUUGCGGAUACCUUUACGAACGUUAACGUAUUUGUGUCGGGAUGAGCUCCGAGAGGUAUCGAUAGAUUGGUUGGAAGCGAAACAAAACGGGGGGAAAAGAAAAUACACCGUUUGAUAUACAUUUUGCAAACGGGGUAAGCAAGCGUAUGCGGUGAAAGGAAUAUGGGAAUUCUGAUGUCGUAGCAGCAUAAUAGCGUAGAUUGAGAACGAUUGUAGAUUUACACGUUUUUGCGCAGCUCGUUCCCUACCAUUUGUCUCCUUUCAUUCCCCUUGUUUCCCUCCUUUAAACCCCCUUCCUCCUCCUCUCCCCCUUAUCCCGCCCUGCUGGGGGUGUCGAGGGGGAUGGAUUAGAGCGCAAAGCAUUGUUACUUGAGAAUUGGUGUAGCUAGCAAAAUCAUAACGCAGUCAGUAUCGAAUAGCAAAGAGGUACAGCAAACGGUGCUUUUAACAGCAAAAGGGAUGCGAACAUUGAACGGGAAGCGGUUGGCGUUGGCCCCAUAGCAAAGAUGGUAGCGUAACAAGAUUGACAUGAUCGUAUUUAAAUCGAAUACUAGACUCUUUAGGACGAUGGCGUCAUAUUCUCCAAAUCCCCCUUAUCCCCCCCCCACAUAACCCACAUCCCUGUUUACACUCCUUCCCACACCACGCGUAGGGAUGUAGCUUUGUUCGCCCCAGACUAGGCGUGAAGGAGCAGACUGGACGGAAGUCGGUAGCUUAGAAAAUGGUUAAUUGUAUGGCAGAUGGUAUUGUACAGAAUGAAUGCUUUAGGCAAUGAGACAGAGAGAAUCGUUCGCGACACGACACACGGACACAAAAAUGGAAUAUUAGCUGGUGUCCUUUAUUAGCUCAACGUUAAAGCAGUCCCCGGGGUGAGAAUGUUUCUUUUUUCAUGCUUGUAACAAACAAACAAACAAACAAACAAAACACACGAGAAGAAAACAAGCGGUAUCCUCCAUUCGUUAAAGUAAGAAGCUACAGCAUAUCCAAAAAAAUGAUAACAAAACAAACAAUAUGGAGAAAGGAAACGCGUACACAUACAUACAUACAAACAAAAUGGAGCAAACGAUUUGUGGCGGCUUAGGAACGGGGGUGACCACGAACAUAAUGAUGUGUAGCCACACCGUGAAAGGGUAUGCGCAUGUAUCCCUUUUCCAUCUUCCUUCUGAUCUCCCCCCCCCCCCCCCUUUCUUCCCCUUCCUUCACCUCCAACCCGCCCGGUCAUCGGACGUUUUCCGUUUUCCCCACUAUAUCCCGUUAGUAUACAUAUGCGAGGAAUGUUGUUGUUUAUUAAAAAGAGAAAAAGCAAAAAAACUUAUGUAAUUAAUGAUUUUUUUUAUUGAAUAAUAAUUUUAUUUUAACUGUAACAAAACAAAACUCACAUACACAAAAAAAAACAAACGCCUCCCCCCACGUUACAAAGGUUGCCGUUUGUGUGGAAAAGUGCUUGAAGGAAAUUUUGUUAUCGAUAACUCCCGUUCAAACCGGGUAGUGUUGUAUGAGGGGUAGGAGGGAUGUAUGUGGCAAUUCUGUAGUUUUGUUUUAAUUUGCUUAGUGUCGUUGUUUUAGUGGCGGUUUGUUUUCCGAUCGGGCCGGAUGUUCUUGCGAUGUUUCGCCUCCCCAGUUUUACACGGUGCGCGUGUUCGUUCUGGGGUUUUUGUGCUGCUUUCUUUGUGGUACCGGUGGGGCACCGUGAUGACCCCAGGCAAGGUGAGAUUAGAUUUCUAUUAGGGCAAGUAAAUUGAAAACCCCGUUUUUUUCUCACUGUUCAAACUAUUGCGGUUGCGACAAAUAGAUAUAUCGUAGGAUAGCAAAAGAAACAUGUUCGGAGGCAGCAAACAGAUUUUUUUUCCGCUCGUGAUAUUACUCUGUACCGACCGAACCGGCAGAACAGAUUUUGUUUGGGAACAGCUACAGUAUGGAGUGUGGAUGUUGUUAAACUAAUUUUAUAUUCUCUUUUGCUGUUCCGUUAACGAUUAGACCGUUCAGGAAGGUAUCACCUGGGAAGUAGAGCAGGCAGAAAAACAAGUAAUAUAAACACAUUGCGGUGUAAACACCUUAAAAACACCACUCGAAAGUGCGGAAGUAAGUGAUUGUUACACAACUUUAAAUACAUUUGCAAAUCAUGUAGACGAGAACAACCAAAAAAAAAAAUAGUGGCGUGCAGAAGCAUACAUUUAAACCACUAAAUGCAAUAAUAAUUACACGUGCGAAAAUACCAACACACAAACACAUAUUUCCCCAAACUAAAAGGACCAGCCACAGCCAGGCCCGAAGAGGCGAAAGCGUAACGGAAAGGAAGCGGCGAGACAGGCGACUUGAUGCUAAUGCUGGAACGUAUCGUAAAGAGCCGUGGCUGUAUGGAGGUAGCAAGUGUACAUAGCCAUACACUUAUAUACACGUGAGAAGAAGCAUUAUACCAACCCACUACCCCCUUUGCCCACGUGCAAGUAGUAAGGAGCUGCAGUAGCAAUAGGGAUUUCAUGACGGCACGUUUGGCGACCAUUGAACCGAGAGGGCACAGGAAUGUAAUGCGAUUUUGACCGCUCGAUUGAUGCCGAAUGAGAGACACAUCCCCAGGUGGCGCACAGCAACAGAACAAAAUUCACACAAAAACACACACACCUUUAUUAGCGGACAAUCAGGAAGAGGAAGCAAAAACCGCGGGCUCGUGGGCACGGUGUGCCGAAUUAUUCCCCAUUUAAACCGAUGGACGGUUCGUGUUUGCAGAUGAAUGGCUAUAGCCGACUGGCGAGGAAAAUUCGCGGAAUGAUGUUGAUGUUUGUUUGUUUUUUUAUUUUUAAAGUCGUCCAAACCGAACGGAAAACAGCAAGAAGCUGACAUAUUUAGCCAAGAGAGCCAAACGUAUUCAGUAUUUUUGCAGGGAUGCAGGUGCGAGUGUGCGUUUUGUUUUGCACACAAAGGUACAUACAGCUCCCCUUCUGUAGCCCACCCAAAUCCGUUCCGUCCCACCCAGGACUGUGUGCCAAAACAUUACGUUCCCAUCUUGUAGCCCGGCUGCAACCAACCAACACACACGUAU